AAACGUAGGUGGCAAGCGUUGUCCGGAAUUAUUGGGCGUAAAGCGCGCGCAGGUGGUUCCUUAAGUCUGAUGUGAAAGCCCCCGGCUCAACCGGGGAGGGUCAUUGGAAACUGGGGAACUUGAGGGCAGAAGAGGAUAGUGGAAUUCCAAGUGUAGCGGUGAAAUGCGUAGAGAUUUGGAGGAACACAAGUGGCGAAGGCGACUGUCUGGUCUGUAACUGACACUGAGGCGCGAAAGCGUGGGGAGCAAACAGGAUUAGAUACCCUGGUAGUCCACGCCGUAAACGAUGAGUGCUGAGUGUUGGGGGGUUUCCGCCCCUCAGUGCUGCAGCUAACGCAUUAAGCACUCCGCCUGGGGAGUACGGUCGCAAGACUGAAACUCAAAGGAAUUGACGGGG
rnacentral:rRNA from 1 species